rnacentral:rRNA from 1 species
AGCUAAUAGAUACCCUGGUAGUCCUGGCCCUAAACGAUGGGAACUAGGUAGUGGGCUUGCAUGGGCUCACUGCCGAAAGCCAAAGUCUUAAGUUCCCCGCCUGGGGGAGUAUGGUCGCAAGGCUGAAAACUCAAAGGAAUUGACGGGGGGCUCACACAAGCGGUGGAGCAUGUGGCUUAAUUCGAGGCUACGCGAAGAACCUUAUCCUGGGCUUGACAUGUGCGAAAGCGCUCGGAAGUAGAAAGCGGAAACGCCGACGAACAGUAUCCAGUCCGGAACCGAGCACAGGUGCUGCAUGGCUGUCGUCAGCUCGUGUCGUGAGAUGUCGGGUUAAGUCCCAUAACGAGCGAAACCCUUGUCUCCAGUUGCUACAGGUAAUGCUGAGGACUCUGGAGAGACUGCCGGCGUCAAG